rnacentral:ncRNA from 1 species
AGCCAAACGACUGAGAACAAAUUGGCCCUAUGCAAGUUGGUGCCUCCGGGCGCCGGCGACACUUUCGAAUUGACGGGGAUCCCCUAAAGCCCUUCUCACCAAGCCAGCCCGGGAAACCGGCUGGUGGCCUGUUGGAAACCACAGGGUAUGGUAAUAGAAGAAGGGAUGACCCAGCCUGCUUUGGCGGCUGGCGAAAUGGGCAAUCCGCAGCGAAGCCCCUACGUGCCUGCCUCAGCAGCCAUACGGGGAACGUUCACAGACUAAGUGGAAGUGGGUGGAGCUCUAAGAGCUCCGCUUAAGAUAUAGUCGAGCCCUUGAGGAGACUCAGGGAGGUAGUUCUAACUGUUCCGUAGGUGAACCUUCGGAAGGAUCAUUA